rnacentral:rRNA from 1 species
GACGAACGCUGGCGGCGUGCCUAAUACAUGCAAGUAGAACGCAGUUGCGAACGGGUGAGUAACGCGUAGGUAACUGCCUGGUAGCGGGGGAUAACUAUUGGCAACGAUAGCUAAUACCGCAUACUACCAGAUGGACCUGCGUUGUAUUAGCUAGUUGGUGAGGUAACGGCUCACCAAGGCAACGAUACAUAGCCGACCGGGGAGGGGGAUCGGGCAAACUGGGGAGGGAACACGGGCCAGACCCCUACGGGAGGCAGCAGGAGGGAAUCUUCGGAAAAGGGGGGAACCCCGACCGAGGAACGCCGCGGGAGUGAAGAAGGUUUUCGGAUCGGAAAGCUCUGUUGUUAAGGAAGCGGUACUUAACCAGAAAGGGACGGCUAACUACGUGCCAGCAGCCGCGGUAAUAC